rnacentral:misc_RNA from 1 species
GAUGAAGAACGCAGCGAACUGCGAUAAGUAAUGUGAAUUGCAGAAUUCAGUGAAUCAUCGAGUCUUUGAACGCACAUUGCGCCCCCUGGCAUUCCGGGGGGCAUGCCUGUCCGAGCGUCAUUGCUGCCCUUCAAGCCCGGCUUGUGUGUUGGGUCGUCGUCCCCCCCGGGGGACGGGCCCGAAAGGCAGAGGCGGCACCGCGUCCGGUCCUCGAGCGUAUGGGGCUUUGUCACCCGCUCGAUUAGGGCCGGCCGGGCGCCAGCCGGCGUCUCCAACCUUCUAUUUUACCAGGUUGACCUCGGAUCAGGUAGGGAUACCCGCUGAACUUAAGCAUAUCAAUAAGCGGAGGA